UAAUACCGGAUGGUUGUUUGAACCGCAUGGUUCAGACAUAAAAGGUGGCUUCGGCUACCACUUACAGAUGGACCCGCGGCGCAUUAGCUAGUUGGUGAGGUAACGGCUCACCAAGGCGACGAUGCGUAGCCGACCUGAGAGGGUGAUCGGCCACACUGGGACUGAGACACGGCCCAGACUCCUACGGGAGGCAGCAGUAGGGAAUCUUCCGCAAUGGACGAAAGUCUGACGGAGCAACGCCGCGUGAGUGAUGAAGGUUUUCGGAUCGUAAAGCUCUGUUGUUAGGGAAGAACAAGUGCCGUUCAAAUAGGGCGGCACCUUGACGGUACCUAACCAGAAAGCCACGGCUAACUACGUGCCAGCAGCCGCGGUAAUACGUAGGUGGCAAGCGUUGUCCGGAAUUAUUGGGCGUAAAGGGCUCGCAGGCGGUUUCUUAAGUCUGAUGUGAAAGCCCCCGGCUCAACCGGGGAGGGUCAUUGGAAACUGGGGAACUUGAGUGCAGAAGAGGAGAGUGGAAUUCCACGUGUAGCGGUGAAAUGCGUAGAGAUGUGGAGGAACACCAGUGGCGAAGGCGACUCUCUGGUCUGUAACUGACGCUGAGGAGCGAAAGCGUGGGGAGCGAACAGGAUUAGAUACCCUGGUAGUCCACGCCGUAAACGAUGAGUGCUAAGUGUUAGGGGGGUUUCCGCCCCUUAGUGCUGCAGCUAACGCAUUAAGCACUCCGCCUGGGGAGUACGGUCGCAAGACUGAAACUCAAAGGAAUUGACGGGGGCCCGCACAAGCGGUGGAGCAUGUGGUUUAAUUCGAAGCAACGCGAAGAACCUUACCAGGUCUUGACAUCCUCUGACAAUCCUAGAGAUAGGACGUCCCCUUCGGGGGCAGAGUGACAGGUGGUGCAUGGUUGUCGUCAGCUCGUGUCGUGAGAUGUUGGGUUAAGUCCCGCAACGAGCGCAACCCUUGAUCUUAGUUGCCAGCAUUCAGUUGGGCACUCUAAGGUGACUGCCGGUGACAAACCGGAGGAAGGUGGGGAUGACGUCAAAUCAUCAUGCCCCUUAUGACCUGGGCUACACACGUGCUACAAUGGACAGAACAAAGGGCAGCG
rnacentral:rRNA from 1 species